rnacentral:rRNA from 1 species
GACGAACGCUGGCGGCGUGCUUAACACAUGCAAGUCGAACGGAAAGGCCCUGCUUUUGUGGGGUGCUCGAGUGGCGAACGGGUGAGUAACACGUGAGUAACCUGCCCUUGACUUUGGGAUAACUUCAGGAAACUGGGGCUAAUACCGGAUAGGAGCUCCUGCUGCAUGGUGGGGGUUGGAAAGUUUCGGCGGUUGGGGAUGGACUCGCGGCUUAUCAGCUUGUUGGUGGGGUAGUGGCUUACCAAGGCCUUGACGGGUAGCCGGCCUGAGAGGGUGACCGGCCACAUUGGGACGGAGAUACGGCCCAGACUCCUACGGGAGGCAGCGGUGGGGAAUAUUGCACAAUGGGCGGAAGCCUGAUGCAGCAACGCCGCGUGCGGGAUGACGGCCUUCGGGUUGUAAACCGCUUUCGCCUGUGACGAAGCGUGAGUGACGGUAAUGGGUAAAGAAGCACCGGCUAACUACGUG